rnacentral:rRNA from 1 species
UUGACGGGGGCCCGCACAAGCGGUGGAGCAUGUGGUUUAAUUCGACGCAACGCGAAGAACCUUACCUGGCCUUGACAUGCAGAGAACUUUCCAGAGAUGGAUUGGUGCCUUCGGGAACUCUGACACAGGUGCUGCAUGGCCGUCGUCAGCUCGUGUCGUGAGAUGUUGGGUUAAGUCCCGCAACGAGCGCAACCCUUGUCAUUAGUUGCUACGAAAGGGCACUCUAAUGAGACUGCCGGUGACAAACCGGAGGAAGGUGGGGAUGACGUCAAGUCCUCAUGGCCCUUAUGGGCUGGGCUACACACGUGCUACAAUGGCGGUGACAGUGGGCAGCGAAGGCGCAAGCCGGAGCGAAUCUCCAAAAGCCGUCUCAGUUCGGAUUGCACUCUGCAACUCGGGUGCAUGAAGUUGGAAUCGCUAGUAAUCGUGGAUCAGCAUGCCACGGUGAAUACGUUCCCGGGCCUUGUACACACCGCCC